GCGGCCUUCUUCUGUGCGUUCGCUUGCAUUAUCCCUUGCGCCAAGACGAUAGCGACUGUUGCAACGAAUCCAAAUAUUUUUUCGAUCGUCGAGUUGGCAACGAAAUGCAGAUCAUAAGUGCCUACCAAAGCACCCUGCUGUAGAGCAUGGAGUCUGCUGGAUCGUGGACAGCGUCGAAUCCAAGUCUGGCACUUGAGCAGCGCAGCAUACGGACGGUGUUCGUUGGACACUGUCAAGAAUUCACGUCCUGGGUAUCGCAGCAAGAUCAACCGCGCGUGUUUAGUUCAAACCCAAGAAAAGAUGGGUCACUCGGUAAGCGAUUCACGUCCUGUCAUAAUCGGAAGGCGCAGCUGCCGUGCUCGUCCCUUGUACCUGUUUGACUGGUGCCGAGGGUUCGCAUUCAUGAACGCCUAACAAGGCUUCCAAAGGAUUGCUGCAGGCCUCGUGGGUAUCGGUGCUUGACUGAGAGCAUACGGGCUCCGUAUCGAGUAUUGUCUAGAUGUUGAAGAUUCGUGCACGUUCGGCACCAGAAUCGUCCGAUGUUUUUGGUUCGCAUUGUACAGAAAACAGCAUACGUGGCAUGGAUACAGCCUAAUUUGAUGUUAUCUGGUGCUCCAGUCGGCAUGUCGUCUCUGUAUCAUCCGGCACAAGUCGAAUUACUGAAGCAGGUUACCCGGCAGCAUGCUCUGUCACGGUUUCCGGUAUCGCAACGUUCCCCGCAGUUUCUCUCGCGUCUGACGCACGCCCGGCACCAGGUUUUCAAGCAUUUCAGUGCAUAUAUGUGUAUGUAUGUAUGUAUGUGUGAAGGCCUCUCGGUCAACGCAUGGGCCUGCAUAUGGAUCAGAGCGCUUCACCGAAUGAUCUGCCAUGGGCACGAAACCCAAGGCAUUUUUGGUCUGUGGCACCCAGCUCAGACCAGAAUAUCACUGGGGCACUUAUGAACGCGAUGUGUGGUUUCAUUGCCCGUGCCACUGGCUGCUCCAGAGUGCGUUCCGCAAAUACGCUUUGUCCAUCAUCAUUCGACAGUCUAUUUGAAGACAUCUCUCGUAUAACUGCUGCCACAGGUGCGGUGGCUCGCGUCGUCAUCAUGCGCUCCCGAGGCACAAGUUUCGCCUCAGGACGCCUCGACGCAACCUGAAAAACGCUUACUGAGCAUCCUGCAGAGUCGCUGGAUCGCCCGAGUUGUCCGCUAUCCAGGGGCAGCAAUUUUCAUGGAAAAUCACCAGAGGCCUCAGCCGAGAUACCAUUGGCGUCUCUGGAUGAUUCCGUUACAGGCCAACGUGAGUCAGUAAGAGAAACCUCACACUCAGCACGGCAACACGUCGCAGGCGCGCACUAGUCGCGGUAGCCAAUGACAUGUUCAAUGAACAAUCAUCCGAAAACUUCGCAUCGCAAAUCUCAAAGUUGUUUCAGAUUUUCUGAGGUAUCUACCAGCGAGCCCUGCUACCUCGUCAUGCUCAGAAUCGAUAAGCAGCGCUUUUGUAGGCCAUUCCACGUGCAAAUCCAGGUCGUGCUGCCCGUUUCUGUUGUAGCCUCCUGAGCAACUGGCGCAACAUGCGUCCUCUCUAACGACCAGUGACACGCUUUCUGGACGACCUUUGCGCCAAAAACCUCAUACCCGGUGUUCUACAAAACAACCCCGACACUAGUAUACGAACAGAAGCGCCUGCAACCCCGCUAGGCUCGCAGUAUGCAUACUAGCAAACAUUGUUGCCAGUGAUCGAUGAGUAUUGGAGCAUACGGGAGCGCCCCUACAUUCAGUUGCAGGAGCCUCGAUACCAUCCAUGGUAGCAUGCGCGGGAAUCGCGAGAAGCAGCACAGUGUUCCGUGGCUUGCCUGCAUCGCCCGUGAGCGUUCUUCUGCAGGUGCUGCAUCCUACCGGCACCUCUGGAAUUAUACUGUUUUGGCUCCAGAAGCGCUGCAGCGAUGCGUCCCGCAGCGACAAGACCAUUUCAGAGCGUGCUCAGUUCAACGAGGAGUGCAUUAAACAUGAGCGUCUCAUCAGUCCACAGUGAAGAUCCCGGUCUCCGUCGAGGAUUCGUGCAAGCCGCGAUGCGGUACUAUGGACUGCCUCGCGCGAUCUACGCCCAGCACGGGACCUCGUUGCUUUUUUGGAAAUCGUGGACGUAAGAGGAUUGUGUCAGGGAUUCGAAACAAAGCCGUUCCGGGACCGAGAGAUUUGCAACGUUCCAAGCGCUGCAACUGGUGGAUGUCACAAGCCUAGUGCACCGCAGACGCCACGCACCGUCGAUGCUGUCGCUCCGAGCAUCGCUGGCAAGUCAUACAAGGAGCGACUCAUCAGGAUUCCAUGGCCGUUCGUCACGUACGAUACAACCAUGCGAUGCAGCGUCAGACCAGAUGAAAAAGUGGUCACUGAGCCCACCGUCCGUAUCGAGUCGCUCGCAGAUACACCAGCAACACACAGCGGAUCCGUCUGCAUCCGGGCCGAUAUGAGCCCAGAGCAUGCUCCAUGGCGUGAGCAAACCAUUGAGGCACGCCGGAUACCGCCCAGUUCACAGCACAGAUGCGUCGCCUCAGGGGGCUUAUCAGCUUUGGUCUCAAAGCACUGCAUCAUCCUUUCAGCGUCGAAUCGUUGGCUUGUCAUCUUUGAUGCCAGUGGACACUAGGCCAUGCCUGUGCACCACAGCUAGCUUUUAAUUAUCUGCCAUUCGGUAUUCUUCAAGUUCCCGGUCGAGUUCCUCAGCACUCUUUGAUGGAGCUUCCUGUCCACGAGGGCGCGUUGGUCGCCGCAUUCGACGACGCCCACGUGCCUUCGUGGUGCGUUUCGCAGUUGAAUCGUGUUUCUCGGACUCGAAACCCGGGGUCGCUGUCGACUCAGUCUCCAUUUGCUGACCAUCGCCAGCUGCCUGCAUUCGAAGUCUGCGUCGACGCCGUGCUCUGCGACGCUCCAUCGUUUGGGUGCUCUCGAGCACACGAACAACGUCCCGCACACCGCCCUUGCCGGCGACAAUGCGCAGUCCGCCAACCGCCUCAGCAGUAGGUUUUGGCACCGGCGGAAGGCGCGCGCCCCGUUCCUUGAGCCGAAGCUUCCGUUUGGGUGUCAUAGACGGUGGAACAGCCGACCUCUGCGUUUGAGGGUGCGCCCCGGACGUAUUCAGCGCAGCCGCGGCACCCGAGCUUUCGAUCUGCACCACAAGCGGCUGCCCGUCCAGCGUCAGCGAGUGAAACUGUUUCACCGCGCGCUCUGCUGUUUCCAUAUCCGCGUACUUGACAGUUGCGACGCCCUUGCUCUUACCCUCACGAUCAUGGCGAAUGAACGCGGUAAUAGU